rnacentral:lncRNA from 1 species
AGGUUGUUGAAUAUAUACAGUUUUUGGAAGAGAAAAAAAUGGCUUGUGUUCGGGUGAGGCCCAGAUACAACAUCCCACAUUUUGUUUUCGAAAUCAUCUCUACUUAACUACAAAGGUAACCAAUUGAAGGAUGCUGAUGUUUUAUCUUUGUCACUAUAAGCUUUAGAACUUAAACUUCACCGGCAUUAGAAAGAAACUUUAGUUAUAGUUAUAUGGGAUAUGAGGACUGUAGGACUAAUGUGAUUCGUUUCUGUAGGUUGUGGUUGCAACUUGGAUGCAGAGGAAGAGUAAUUUGGCUGCUAAGGUAUCAAGGUAAGGAAAAAGAAAUAUUGCCCCAGUGUUUAUGAUUUGUCUGGUUAGGGUCAUAGUGUAUUUUAAUCCAUUAUGAAUUUCUAUAGCUGUGAAUUAUAUAUACACAUGUACGAAGAAACAAUAGAUUAAGUUUGUUUCAUCCUUUGGGUGUAUAUUUUGAAGUUCCUGAGUGACAAAGGCUCUUUGAGAAACAGUAAGAUUAAGUUUGUUUUUAUCACAUAAUGCAGGAUUAUUAAACCCAAACAAAUCCAAGCGGUAUUUGUCAUUUGCUGUAAAGCCAUUAAAAACGCCUCCAGGAGAAAUGUCAAAGGCUCUUUGAGAAACUUGUAUAUUUAUCUCUUCUUUACUUGCCUUUAAUGACAAACAUGAUAGUAUCCAAAUUAAUUUCAGGAAGGUACUCCUAUAAGAGGAAACUUUUGAGAUGUACCAUGUCAUUUAAAUUUAAUCCAUAAUGCAGAGAUAAAAACAGUUUUUUCAUUCACCACAUGGAGAUCGCAUUAACUAAGCGCCGUGAGGCAAGCCAUGAUGUUCUUCGAAAUAUGUGGACAAUAAGGUUGCUGAGUGAGCAAUUCUUUUUGCUUCUGUGGUGUUCUCAGGGAGGGAUAUUUCGUGGCCUUGGUGAUAUAUGCAAACCAAAUUUUGUAUGAUUUUUAGAACCCUUUGGAGUGAAAGACAGUAAAUGAGGAAUGAUGUUUAAAUAAUAUUGAGUUUUUCUUUUAUUUUUUUCUUGGUUCA